rnacentral:rRNA from 1 species
GAUGUCGGCUCGUCACAUCCUGGGGCUGGAGAAGGUCCCAAGGGUUCGGCUGUUCGCCGAUUAAAGUGGCACGCGAGCUGGGUUCAGAACGUCGUGAGACAGUUCGGUCCCUAUCUGUUGUGGGCGUAGGAGAUUUGAGAGAACCUGACACUAGUACGAGAGGACCGUGUUGGACAGACCACUAGUGUACCUGUUGUGGCGCCAGCUGCAUCGCAGGGUAGCUAUGUUUGGAAGAGAUAAGCACUGAAAGCAUCUAAGUACGAAGCUCGUCUCAAGAUGAGAUCUCCCUUAAGGGUCGUUGAAGACUACGACGUUGAUAGGCUGCAGGUGUAAAGGCGGUAACGUCAAAGCUGAGCAGUACUAAUUACCCGUGAGCUUUCCGGGU